rnacentral:tRNA from 1 species
ACAGAUGUAGCUCAGUGGAAGAGCACACGCCUUGCAUGUAUGAGACCCUAGGUUUGUUUCCCAGCACCAGAG